UUGAACGCUGGCGGCAGGCCUAACACAUGCAAGUCGAGCGGUAGCACAGAGAGCUUGCUCUCGGGUGACGAGCGGCGGACGGGUGAGUAAUGUCUGGGAAACUGCCUGAUGGAGGGGGAUAACUACUGGAAACGGUAGCUAAUACCGCAUAACGUCGCAAGACCAAAGUGGGGGACCUUCGGGCCUCAUGCCAUCAGAUGUGCCCAGAUGGGAUUAGCUAGUAGGUGGGGUAACGGCUCACCUAGGCGACGAUCCCUAGCUGGUCUGAGAGGAUGACCAGCCACACUGGAACUGAGACACGGUCCAGACUCCUACGGGAGGCAGCAGUGGGGAAUAUUGCACAAUGGGCGCAAGCCUGAUGCAGCCAUGCCGCGUGUGUGAAGAAGGCCUUCGGGUUGUAAAGCACUUUCAGCGGGGAGGAAGGCGAUAAGGUUAAUAACCUUGUCGAUUGACGUUACCCGCAGAAGAAGCACCGGCUAACUCCGUGCCAGCAGCCGCGGUAAUACGGAGGGUGCAAGCGUUAAUCGGAAUUACUGGGCGUAAAGCGCACGCAGGCGGUCUGUCAAGUCGGAUGUGAAAUCCCCGGGCUCAACCUGGGAACUGCAUUCGAAACUGGCAGGCUAGAGUCUUGUAGAGGGGGGUAGAAUUCCAGGUGUAGCGGUGAAAUGCGUAGAGAUCUGGAGGAAUACCGGUGGCGAAGGCGGCCCCCUGGACAAAGACUGACGCUCAGGUGCGAAAGCGUGGGGAGCAAACAGGAUUAGAUACCCUGGUAGUCCACGCCGUAAACGAUGUCGAUUUGGAGGUUGUGCCCUUGAGGCGUGGCUUCCGGAGCUAACGCGUUAAAUCGACCGCCUGGGGAGUACGGCCGCAAGGUUAAAACUCCAAUGAAUUGACGGGGGCCCGCACAAGCGGUGGAGCAUGUGGUUUAAUUCGAUGCAACGCGAAGAACCUUACCUGGUCUUGACAUCCACAGAACUUUCCAGAGAUGGAUUGGUGCCUUCGGGAACUGUGAGACAGGUGCUGCAUGGCUGUCGUCAGCUCGUGUUGUGAAAUGUUGGGUUAAGUCCCGCAACGAGCGCAACCCUUAUCCUUUGUUGCCAGCGGUUAGGCCGGGAACUCAAAGGAGACUGCCAGUGAUAAACUGGAGGAAGGUGGGGAUGACGUCAAGUCAUCAUGGCCCUUACGACCAGGGCUACACACGUGCUACAAUGGCAUAUACAAAGAGAAGCGACCUCGCGAGAGCAAGCGGACCUCAUAAAGUAUGUCGUAGUCCGGAUUGGAGUCUGCAACUCGACUCCAUGAAGUCGGAAUCGCUAGUAAUCGUAGAUCAGAAUGCUACGGUGAAUACGUUCCCGGGCCUUGUACACACCGCCCGUCACACCAUGGGAGUGGGUUGCAAAAGAAGUAGGUAGCUUAACCUUCGGGAGGGCGCUUACCACUUUGUGAUUCAUGACUGGGGUG
rnacentral:rRNA from 1 species